GGGCCCGCAGGAUGGCCGCUACCUGCUUCCCAAGCAGACAGCGCGGGUUCGAUUCCCGUCAGCCCCUCCA
rnacentral:tRNA from 1 species